rnacentral:piRNA from 1 species
UGGACCUUGGACACUACAGAAUUGUGG